rnacentral:rRNA from 1 species
GACGAACGCUGGCGGCGCGCUUAACACAUGCAAGUCGAGCGGGAACCGGGCCUUCGGGCCCGGGGACAGCGGCGAACGGGUGAGUAACACGUGGGUAAUCUGCCCUCGGUACUGGGAUAGCCCGGGGAAACCCGGAUUAAUACCGGAUAGCCCUUCGAGCCUUCGGGCUCGCAGGAAAAGGUAGCUUCGGCCUCCGACCGAGGCUGAGCCCGCGGCGGAUUAGCUUGUUGGUGGGGUAACGGCCUACCAAGGCGACGAUCCGUAGCUGGUCUGAGAGGACGAUCAGCCACACUGGGACUGAGACACGGCCCAGACUCCUACGGGAGGCAGCAGUGGGGAAUCUUGCCCAAUGGGCGAAAGCCUGAGGCAGCGACGCCGCGUGCGGGAAGAAGGCCCUCGGGUUGUAAACCGCUUUCAGGAGGGACGAAGCCACUCGGGUUAAUAGCCUAGAGGGUGACGGUACCUCCAGAAGAAGCCCCGGCUAACUACGUGCCAGCAGCCGCCGUAAAAC